rnacentral:miRNA from 1 species
AUUCUGCAUUUUUAACAAGUUC